rnacentral:lncRNA from 1 species
UCAUUCUGCUUUAUGGCUCAGCAUCCAUUUUUAAAUUAAUCCCCUAUUGUGGACCAUUUUGGCUUUUUCCAAUUUCUGUAAUAAUUAACACUCCAAUGACUACUAAAUUCUUUACCUUCGUCUCUGGUUGUUCCCUUAGAAUAGCUUCCUCGAAGUAGAAUUGCUGGGACAGGUACAUAAAUAUGGUAAAGCCUCCUCCCUCAAACUAUCAGACUGCUGUCCCAAGGGGGACUUCAUCCAUUUUAUGCCCAUCAUCUCUGCUAUCACUUAUGUUACCUUGUGUCAAAAUUAAUAUGCUAUGAGUUAUUUGAUAGGGAUGGGGACAACUUUUAUUGCCUUGCCGGUGGGCUUAGGACUGUCUGAGUAAGACUCCAUUAAGGGCUAAGCUAAAUGAACUCAAAAUGCCCACAAAGAGAAAAUUGGUGAACUGGAAAGUAAAUAUUAAGAAAUAGCACACAAAAUGAGACAGACAGAGAACACGAAAAAGAGGUAUCAACGGAAAUAAAUCACCAAGAAAGAAGACCCAAAAUAUAUGUUUUUAGAAUGUCAGAAGAACAUAAUAGAAACAGCAGAGAAAAGCCACACUUUGUAGAAAUAAUGACCAAGAAAUUUCUAGAACUGAUGAAAGACACCAAUCCUUAGAUUCAGCAACACCAAGGAAUCUCAAGAACAAUAAACAACAAGAAAUGAACACUCAGUCUGCAAAACUCUAA